rnacentral:piRNA from 1 species
UCCAUGUAGGAGGUUUCCACACCAGGGCC